ensembl:misc_RNA Metazoa_SRP Metazoan signal recognition particle RNA
GCUGGGCAUGAUGGCUUAUGCCUGUAAUCCCAGCACUUUGGGAGGCCAAGGCGGGUGGAUCACCUGAGGUCAGGAGUUCGAGACUAGCCUGACCAACAUGGUGAAACCCCGUCUCUA